GAUGAACGCUGGCGGCGUGCCUAAUACAUGCAAGUCGAGCGAACAGACGAGGAGCUUGCUCCUCUGACGUUAGCGGCGGACGGGUGAGUAACACGUGGAUAACCUACCUAUAAGACUGGGAUAACUUCGGGAAACCGGAGCUAAUACCGGAUAAUAUAUUGAACCGCAUGGUUCAAUAGUGAAAGACGGUUUUGCUGUCACUUAUAGAUGGAUCCGCGCCGCAUUAGCUAGUUGGUAAGGUAACGGCUUACCAAGGCAACGAUGCGUAGCCGACCUGAGAGGGUGAUCCGCCACACUGGAACUGAGACACGGUCCAGGCUCCUACGGGAGGCAGCAGUAGAGAAUCUUCCGCAAUGGGCGAAAGCCUGACGGAGCAACGCCGCGUGAGUGAUGAAGAUCUUCGGAUCGUAAAACUCUGUUAUUAGGGAAGAACAAAUGUGUAAGUAACUAUGCACGUCUUGACGGUACCUAAUCAGAAAGCCACGGCUAACUACGUG
rnacentral:rRNA from 1 species